UUGAAUUGAAGCCCCGGUAAACGGCGGCCGUAACUAUAACGGUCCUAAGGUAGCGAAAUUCCUUGUCGGGCAAGUUCCGACCUGCACGAAUGGCGUAACGAUCUCCACGCUGUCUCGGCCAGAGACUCGGUGAAAUUGAAGUCGCGGUGAAAAUGCCGUGUACCCGCAGAAAGACGGAAAGACCCUGUGCACCUUUACUAUAGCUUGACAUUGGGUUUUGAACCUGCAUGUGUAGGAUAGGUGGGAGGCUGUGAAAGCUGUACGCCAGUAUGGCCGGAGCCACCCGUGAAAUACCACCCUUGUUUGUUCAGGACCCUAACUCGCAGCUGUAAUCCAGCGCGAAGACAGUGUCUGGUGGGUAGUUUGACUGGGGCGGUCGCCUCCUAAAGAGUAACGGAGGCAUGCAAAGGUUCCCUCAGGCUGAUUGGAAACCAGCCGUUGAGUGCAAGCGCAUAAGGGAGCUUGACUGCAAGAGAGACAUCUCGAACAGAUACGAAAGUAGGUGCUAGUGAUCCGGUGGUCCCGAAUGGAAGGGCCAUCGCUCAUUGGAUAAAAGGUACGCCGGGGAUAACAGGCUGAUCGCAUCCAAGAGUUCACAUCGACGAUGCGGUUUGGCACCUCGAUGUCGGCUCAUCACAUCCUGGGGCUGAAGCAGGUCCCAAGGGUACGGCUGUUCGCCGUUUAAAGUGGUACGCGAGCUGGGUUUAAAACGUCGUGAGACAGUUUGGUCCCUAUCUUCUGUGGGCGUAGGAGAAUUGAGAGGGUUUGUCCCUAGUACGAGAGGACCGGGAUGAACGCACCACUGGUGGAUCAGUUGUCGCGCCAGCGGCAUAGCUGAGUAGCUAUGUGCGGAAUGGAUAACCGCUGAAAGCAUCUAAGCGGGAAGCCAGCCUCGAGAUAAGUUCUCCCUGUCGCAAGACACUAAAGGGCCGAUGAAGACUACAUCGUUGAUAGGCCGGAGGUGGAAGCGCUGCGAAGCGUGGAGCUGACCGGUACUAAUAGCCCGUGCGCCUUAUAUUU
rnacentral:rRNA from 1 species